rnacentral:rRNA from 1 species
AACGAACGCUGGCGGCAUGCCUAACACAUGCAAGUCGAACGAGACCUUCGGGUCUAGUGGCGCACGGGUGCGUAACGCGUGGGAAUCUGCCCUUGGGUUCGGAACAACAGUUGGAAACGACUGCUAAUACCGGAUGAUGACUUCGGUCCAAAGAUUUAUCGCCCAGGGAUGAGCCCGCGUAGGAUUAGCUUGUUGGUGAGGUAAAAGCUCACCAAGGCGACGAUCCUUAGCUGGUCUGAGAGGAUGAUCAGCCACACUGGGACUGAGACAGGGCCCAGACUCCUACGGGAGGCAGAAGUGGGGAAUAUUGGACAAUGGGCGAAAGCCUGAUCCAGCAAUGCCGCGUGGGUGAUGAAGGCCUUAGGGUUGUAAAGCCCUUUUACCCGGGAUGAUAAUGACAGUACCGGGAGAAUAAGCCCCGGCUAACUCCGUGCCAGCCGCCGCCGUAAGAC